CCUACGGGUGGCAGCAGUGAGGAAUAUUGGUCAAUGGGCGCUAGUCUGAACCAGCCAAGUAGCGUGAAGGAUGACUGCCCUAUGGGUUGUAAACUUCUUUUAUAUGGGAAUAAAGUGUUGCACGUAUAGGGUUUUGUAUGUACCUUAUGAAUAAGGAUCGGCUAACUCCGUGCCAGCAGCCGCGGUAAUACGGAGGAUCCGAGCGUUAUCCGGAUUUAUUGGGUUUAAAGGGAGCGUAGGCGGGUUGUUAAGUCAGUUGUGAAAGUUUGCGGCUCAACCGUAAAAUUGCAGUUGAUACUGGCAGUCUUGAGUACAGUAGAGGUGGGCGGAAUUCGUGGUGUAGCGGUGAAAUGCUUAGAUAUCACGAAGAACUCCGAUUGCGAAGGCAGUCCACUGGACUGUAACUGACGCUGAUGCUCGAAAGUGUGGGUAUCAAACAGGAUUAGAUACCCGUGUAGUC
rnacentral:rRNA from 1 species